rnacentral:rRNA from 1 species
UACGUAGGGUGCAAGCGUUGUCCGGAAUUAUUGGGCGUAAAGGGCUCGUAGGCGGUCUGUCGCGUCGGGAGUGAAAACACCGGGCUUAACUCGGUGCUUGCUUUCGAUACGGGCAGACUAGAGGUAUGCAGGGGAGAGCGGAAUUCCUGGUGUAGCGGUGAAAUGCGCAGAUAUCAGGAGGAACACCGGUGGCGAAGGCGGUUCUCUGGGCAUUACCUGACGCUGAGGAGCGAAAGUGUGGGGAGCGAACAGG